rnacentral:rRNA from 1 species
UACGUAGGGGGCAAGCGUUGUCCGGAAUCAUUGGGCGUAAAGCGCGUGUAGGCGGCCAGAAAAGUCCGCUGUGAAAACUCGAGGCUCAACUUCGAGCUGUCGGUGGAAACUUUCUGGCUAGAGUCCGGAAGAGGAGAGUGGAAUUCCUGGUGUAGCGGUGAAAUGCGCAGAUAUCAGGAAGAACACCUAUGGCGAAGGCAGCUCUCUGGGACGGUACUGACGCUGAGACGCGAAAAGCGUGGGGAGCGAACAGG